GACGUAGGAUGCAAGCGUUGUCCGGAAUUAUUGGGCGUAAAGAGUUCGUAGGCGGUUACUUAAGUCUGGUGUUAAAGACGGGAGCUCAACUCCCGCAUGGCAUUGGAAACUGGGUGGCUAGAGUGCGGUAGAGGUCUCGGGAAUUCCAGGUGUAGCGGUGAAAUGCGUAGAUAUCUGGAGGAACACCGGUGGCGAAAGCGCGAGACUGGGCCGUAACUGACGCUGAGGAAGAAAGCCAGGGGA
rnacentral:rRNA from 1 species